UACGGAGGGGGCGAGCGUUAUUCGGAAUUAUUGGGCGUAAAGGGCGCGUAGGCGGCCCGGUAAGUCAAAGGUGAAAUCCCUCGGCUCAACUGAGGAACUGUCUUUGAAACUGUCGGGCUUGAGGCCGGGAGGGGGUAGCGGAAUUCCCAGUGUAGCGGUGAAAUGCGUAGAUACUGGGAGGAACACCAGUGGCGAAGGCGGCUACCUGGACCGGUUCUGACGCUGAUGCGCGAAAGCGUGGGUAGCAAACAGG
rnacentral:rRNA from 1 species